GACCAAGCAGCAUAACAGACCAGUUUUCAACAAUAGGAAGAGAAAGAACCCGUUGAAGCAAGAAACCCCUGUUGGCGGCGAAAGAAGGGAUGAAAGGCAUGGCCAUGAAGCGCUGAAAGAAAUCGAUUUGUUGGAACCUUGAAAGCCUCGAACCGCGGGAUAAGCCCAAGGGCAAUGGGUCGCCAGGAACUGGCCGGGCCUGGCCGUUGAGAGUUAUUGGUGUCGACAAGUCCAAUUCCCAAAAUCCACCGGAGUCCAUAGCCCACCUAAGUUUCUUCAUAUCUCUUCGUCGGAAUGUCCCAGAUUCU
rnacentral:misc_RNA from 1 species